rfam:Canis lupus familiaris chromosome 4, whole genome shotgun sequence.
GCCUGGGUGGCUCAGUGGUUGAGCAUCUGCCUUCAGCUCAGGUCGUGAUCCUGGGAUCGAGUCCCGCAUCGGGCU